UUAGAAUUGUGACACUAUCAUCAUGUCAAACACAGACACCUAAUAGAAAUUUUACAUUAGAAACAACGGCAAAGACAGGUGAAGCAAGACUAUCUACAAUAAUUUAUUCAACUACCAGUCAAACGAAUGACACAACGAUUGCAACAAACAAAACUGUAACUACGUUUGUAAUGCCUACGGCAGUGCCAGGAGGAAACCUGUCAUCAACGCUAACACAUAAAAUAAGUUCACCAACAAUAAGACACAGUUCAACUGGAAAGUCAACAAGUGAGACAGGACACUUAAAUAAUGCAACAUUGACUGACGUUUCAAAUUUCACAGGAACUUGGAAAACAAACUCCGGUUUAACUACUGAGUCAGUAACUAUUGCGGAACACUCCGAUACAUCGACCGAAAUUUUAAACACAAAACUGCUAUAGAAUUCGAGCUCGAGUUCAACUGUUAAGCCAAUAACUGUGGCGGACCAUUCCGAUACAACGACCACAUUGCUAUGGAAAUCAAACUCGAGUUCAACUGUUAAGCCAAUAACUGAGAUGGGUCACUCCGAUAAAACGACCGAACUCUUCAUCACCACAUCGGUAUUGAAUAACUCAAGUUUAACUGUUAAGCCAAUAACUAACAUGGGCCACUCCGAUAAAACGACCGAAAUCUUCAACAUCACAUCGGUAUUGAAUACAAACUCAAGUUCAACUAUUAACCCAAUAACUAAGGCGGAGCACUCAGAUACAGCCAAUAAGAUAAACACCACACGAGUAUGGAAUACAGACACUAGUUCAACUGCUAAGCCAGUAACUGAGACGGAAUACUACGCUUUAACGACGGCAGAACGUUUUAAUACAAACUCGGGUUCAACUGUUAAGCCAGUAACUGAAGCGGAACAUUUCAAUACUACGAAGGAUAUUUAUUUGAACACCACACAGUUAUUGAAUACAAAAUUGGAUGUAACUGUAACAUCAAUACGAGAGACGGACAAUGCCAAUAUAACGACCGAUAUGCCAAAUACCACAUAAGUACGGACCAAAGAAUCAGAAAUGAAGAAGAGCUCACAUAGAGUAGUCUACAUUCCAAUAAUAGAUACCAUCAUCAUUUUGGCAAUUCUGAUAAUAAUUAUUCUGUGUAUUUUGAUACGGAGAUGGAGAAGGCAAAAAGAAAGUAUCAGUGAUGAUGACUUACCUGUCCAACUCUCACCUGACGCUACGCUACCACACGAAAGUGAUUAUACCGACGGAAGUGAUUUUAGAAAACGUGUUUUGUAAAGAUGAUACAGAUAAUAUUCACAGUCACACUGAUCAACAAGAAUAUGUAUUGUGUGAAGAUAUGCAUGUUUAUAAUCAUAUGAAGAACGUAACUGAUUCCUUUAUGGACAGUUCUUAUUCGCAUUUAUACUCUAGUCCUGUAGCCACGGCAACUAAAUCAUAUAGCGAUUCAAAUAUAACUAAUUUAUAUGCUGCAAAUAACACAACUCAAAACCAAGCUUUUCUGUCUGCACAACAUCAUGAAUGUGAUGACACCUAUAACAAAUUGCAGACAUCACAAUUGAAUUCAGACAAAGAAGCAUUAAAGCAAGAGGAUAUAGAGAUCGACAACGAGUCUGCAUACGACAGUAUUGUCGCCGGUGGAAAAUCUCAUGUUAAGAAAACAGACACUUAUUCUCAUCUGAAAAAAGUAAAAAGGAGCAACGACAUAGAACUAGAA